rnacentral:rRNA from 1 species
AUUGAAUGCUGGCGGCAGGCCUAACACAUGCAAGUCGAGCGAGCGGCGGACGGGUGAGUAAUGCCUGGGACUUGCCCAGUAGAGGGGGAUAACAGGUGAAAACGACUGCUUAUACCGCAUACGCUUGGGUUGCCCAGGUGGGAUUCGCUAGUUGGUGGUGUAAGGUCUCACAAGGGGGACGACCCCUAGCUGGUCUGAGGGUAUGAUCAGCCACACGGAAACUGAGACACGUGCCAGACCCCUCCGGGAGGCAGCGGGGGGGAAUAUUGCACAAGGGGGGAAACCCUGAUGCAGCCAUGCCGCGUGUGGGAAGAGGGCCUCGGGUUGUAAAGCACUUUCAGCGAGGAGGCGUUACUCGCAGAAGAAGCACCGGCUAACUCCGUGCCAGCAGCCGCGGUAAUAC